rnacentral:lncRNA from 1 species
UUAGGGUAAAUUAUCAAUAUAUUUUUUCAUUCAUUACGAAUUGCAACUCGACGAAGUAUUACUAACAUCAUCAUGAGAAAACCACCCAUCAAAACAAUAUGCCAAAAACAGCAAAAAAAGUAAAGGGAAAAGAAAAUCCUGCAAGCAAUUUCACAUCAUUUUUGAGAUUAGUGAGAGGAAUUAGAGAGGGGUUUUGCCAAGCAUGUUGGUGUUUCCUCUCCAGGCAUUACGACAACAACACUUGGCUCUGCAGAGUCUGCUCCUGCUCUUUCUCUUGCAUCACUACUGCUGCUUGAGAUGGACACAAAUUUCUGACAGGCACAGGUUAAAAUCAGCAGCACUAACCCAACAAGUGCCGCGACUAGGGCAGCACUGAGGCACGCCAUCGCCUGUCUGAAGCGACCGCUCUCCGUGGUGGCGGGGUAAAAUGUUGCAGGGAACAUUGCUCUGUCACACUCCUCUAGCUAGCUUAUUCGAUCGGAUGAGAACAAAUAAUUAAGUUUGAUUAUUGAUCUACAAAGUUAUAAAUAUGGACUCGCUUUGUACAAAGGGUGUUGCAUUAUUAAUGCUAUUUAUAGUUAGGUUUCUAAUUUCAUAUAUUAGCUAAAUGAUAAUGCGAUGGAGGCUAAAUUAUUAACCCAAAUUUGUAAAUCAAAUUAUGUGUUAUCAAUAAAAAAUAAGCACAUUAAUCAACACUUAAGUAAUAAUUCAAUCAUCAACAUCCACAUUAUUUGGUUUAGAAAUUUGGUCUCUCUAACAUUACUCUUAGCCAAAGGUGUAUGAGCUUUCAUCAAUUAGGUAGGAGUAUGUAGUGCCCACCAUGUGUUAGGUGAUAGUUUGCAUAUUUGGAAGAUUUUACUGAAGCUCAUAAAAAUAGCUAAAAUUAAUUUGUCAUUAAUUAGGUAGGAAAAAUAUCCAAAUUAUAUUCAUUGGGAUUUAUCGUCUUUAAAUAGGGUUCUUUUAGUUUAUAAAAUUAUAGAGUACAGAUUACCACAUAAAGAAAAUGGUAAGUUAUCAGUUUGGAUUUUUCACGAAUGAAGUUCAGUCCUUGCUAACCUCUCUCAGCAGCAACCGAACACAUCAAUGGGAGGAGUCGACACCUAAUUCAGAGGUAUUUCUACAUUUGUUGAUGGAUGGGUUGGACGGAAAGGCAAAGAGAUACGUGCUUAGGAGCGGGUCGGGUUUGGGACCUCGGGGCAUCUUCUACAUCUAACUCCCAGACUCCAAGUGGGACGUCUUCCAGACUGCAACAUUUGGAGAUGGAGUUAUUAGCCUUACCAACGAGAAAAAGAAUCUCGGGAAGAAGCAUCGUACCAACGAGAGAAGGAUUUUCGGUGCUACAUUGCUGGCAAGGCCCAUGCAAUGGCAGCCUUUGGCACUCGCCUUCCUGAUCCUCCGAGCCACCUUCAACCGUCUUCCCACCAACAACCCUAGUUAGUUUAGGAUUAU